UUUAGUAAUCCUUUUUAAAAAAUAAUAUGUUAUCUUUACUUGUGUGUUUUUACUGUUUGUGAUAAAAAGGGACGUAAUUAUCACUCGCCGUUAAACCACUUUUAAUGUGGAGCACCGCACUUAAUGAAAUGGAUACAUUAGCUAACAAUAAAAUGUAUGUAUAGACUCAGAUGUUCAGACUCGUAUUGAAAUUGAAAAAUGUGCCCGGCCAAAAAGCUGUCAGAAUUCUACGGAAUUAAAAAUCAGAGUCUGCCGUACGUCAAAUCUGUAUUCAAUUUGACAUACGGGAGUGUUAUUUCGCGCUAAGUUUCGUCGUCUGAAUCUUACACUAACUUUACGUUGAAAAUGCCAUUAAACAUUGUUGUGAGUUGUACAUCAGAAUUAAAGUAUCGAAAAUUUUCAUAAUGACUUUUAGCUUAUUCACUUGGCGUUACAUAUAAAGGGUUUUAACGUUUCCUUAAAUGGCAUGUUGUUUAAUGUUGAUUUAAGUAAUGCGUGUUGUUAAUUUGUCCAUAAAAUUUAAGUUAGGUGUUAUUUAGCUCAAAGUGUGGUUGAACGGUUAGUACUGCUAUGUACCAUGCAGUUGACUAAGACUAAUGUGUAUAGUACCUCCUCAAAAAUCGUUAUUACCUACGUGUACGUGACAGUGUUUUAUUUUUGUAUUUUGAUAAAAUUCGUGUAAAUAAUUUUCUUAUUUUAUUGAUAUUAAACUCAAUUAAUCAA